CCAAUAGCGUAUAUUAAAGUUGUUGCAGUUAAAAAGCUCGUAGUUGAAUUUCGAGAUCGGUUUAUUGGUCGUGCUAUUGUACGUACUGGUAUUACCGGUUUCUCCUUUCUGACGAACCAUAAUGCCAUUAAUUUGGUGUUUUGGGAAAUCAGGACUGUUACUUUGAAAAAAUUAGAGUGUUUAAAGCAGGCUCACGCUUGAAUACAUUAGCAUGGAAUAACGGAAUAGGACGUUUGAUUCUAUUUUGUUGGUUUCUAGGAUCGACGUAAUGAUUAAUAGGGAUAGUUGGGGGCAUUAGUAUUCAAUUGUCAGAGGUGAAAUUCUUGGAUUUAUUGAAGACUAACUACUGCGAAAGCAUUUGCCAAGGAUGUUUUCAUUAAUCAAGAACGAAAGUUAGGGGAUCGAAGACGAUCAGAUACCGUCGUAGUCUUAACCAUAAACUAUGCCGACUAGGGAUCGGAUGAUGUUAAUUUUUUAAUGACUCAUUCGGCGCCUUACG
rnacentral:rRNA from 1 species